ensembl:misc_RNA
CUGACCUCUGUAGAGACUGAAGUUCUUUGUUUAAUCGCAGAUCAGACACAUCAUGACCAGCAGCAGAAUAAGCUUCUCCCACAUUGCCCUGUCAAAGUGCCUCAACCCUGAGCUGGAGGGACAGCUUUGAAAGGGGAGAGUGGAGUUCAGUCUCUGUCACUUCACUCCUUGGCCUCC